rnacentral:rRNA from 1 species
AGCUUAAUGAAUAUUUAUAUUAAGUAUUUUCUGCUCAAUGAAAUUGAUGAUUAAAUAGCCGCAGUACCUUGACUGUGCUAAGGUAGCAUAAUAAAUUGUCUCAUAAUUGGAGUCUGGAAUGAAUGAAAAUUUGUACAAAGACUGUCUCAUAUCUCUAUAUAGCUUUAACUUACUAAAUAAGUGAAAAUUCUUAUGAAUAUAUAAUAGACGAGAAGACCCUAGAAAUUUUUAUAAUUAUAAUUACUUGUAAUUUUUUUAUUUUUGUUGGGGCGACAAUAUUACAAUAGUUAAACUAAUCAUAAUAAAAUAAGUGUAUUUUCUACAAGAUGAUAAUUUAUAAGCUGGAUUAAAUUACUUUAGGGAUAACAGCAUAAUUUAUAUAUAAGUUUGUGACCUCGAUGUUGGAUUAGGAAAUAUAGUAAUUAAAAGUAACUAUUAUUAGGUUCUGUUCGAACUUUAAUUUAAUCUCCUACAUG